rnacentral:rRNA from 1 species
CCUGUACUACCGAUAACCGUUUGAGAGAAGGGAUGACACAGUAGGAUAAGCUAAGCACACUGUUGGUUAUGUGUGCCCAAGCAUUGAGGCAGUCAAAGUAGGCAAAUCCGCUUUGAUAAUGCUGGGAUGUGAUGGGGAGCGAAAUUUAGUAGCGAAGUAGCUGAUUUCACACUGUCAAGAAAAGUCUCUAUCGAGGUUAAAGGUACCCGUACCGCAAACCGACACAGGUGGGUGAGGAGAGUAUCCUAAGGCCAGCGAGAGAACUGUUGUUAAGGAACUCGGCAAAAUGACCCCGUAACUUAGGGAUAAGGGGUGCCACCAUCAGGUGGCCGCAGAGAAUAGGCCCAAGCGACUGUUUACCAAAACAUAGGUUUCUGCUAAGUCGCAAGACGAUGUAUAGGAGCUGACGCCUGCCCGGUGCUGGAAGGUUAAGGGGAUCUGUUAGAGCAAUCGAAGCAGUGAACUUAAGCCCCAGUAAACGGCGGCCGUAACUAUAACGGUCCUAAGGUAGCGAAAUUCCUUGUCGGGUAAGUUCCGACCCGCACGAAAGGCGUAACGAUUUGGGCACUGUCUCAACAACAGACUCGGUGAAAUUGUAAUUCCGGUGAAGAUGCCGGAUACCUGCGACAGGACGGAAAGACCCCAUGGAGCUUUACUGUAGCUUGACAUUGGGUCUUGGUACUACAUGUACAGGAUAGGUGGGAGGCUUUGAAACCAGGACGCCAGUUUUGGCGGAGCCAUCCUUGGGAUACCACCCUUGUAGUACUGGGACUCUAACCAUAGGCCAUGAAUCUGGUCUUGGGACACUGUCAGGUGGGCAGUUUGACUGGGGCGGUCGCCUCCCAAAAGGUAACGGAGGCGCUCAAAGGUUCUCUCAGUACGGUCGGAAAUCGUACGUAGAGUGUAAAGGCAAAAGAGAGCUUGAUUGCAAGACAUACAGGUCGAGCAAGGAUGAAAAUCGGACUUAGUGAUCCGGUGGUUCUGCGUGGAAGGGCCAUCGCUCAACGGAUAAAAGCUACCCUGGGGAUAACAGGCUUAUCUCCCCCAAGAGUCCACAUCGACGGGGAGGUUUGGCACCUCGAUGUCGGCUCAUCACAUCCUGGGGCUGUAGUAGGUCCCAAGGGUUGGGCUGUUCGCCCAUUAAAGUGGUACGCGAGCUGGGUUCAGAACGUCGUGAGACAGUUCGGUCCCUAUCCGUCGCAGGCGUAGGAAAUUUGAGAAGACCUGUCCUUAGUACGAGAGGACCGGGAUGGACGUACCUCUGGUGUACCAGUUGUCCUGCCAAGGGCAUGGCUGGGUAGCUAUGUACGGAAUGGAUAAGCGCUGAAAGCAUCUAAGCGCGAAGCCAACUUCAAGAUAAGAUUUCCCACCGCAAGGGUAAGACCCCAGAAAGACUAUCUGGUUGAUAGGUCGAAGGUGUAAGUGCAGCAAUGUAUUUAGCUUAUCGAUACUAAUAGGUCGAGGACUUGACCAA